CGCGGUAAUUCCAGCUCCAAUAGCGUAUACUAAAGUGUUGCAGUUAAAAAGCUCGUAGUUGGAUUUCUGGCGGGGACGGCUGGUCGGUCUCGAAAGGGGCUGUACUGUUGUUGGUUCCCGUCAUCCUUGGGGAGAGCGGCUCUUACAUUAAGUUGUCGGCGUCGGGAUCCCUAUCUUUUACUGUGAAAAAAUUAGAGUGCUCAAAGCAGGCUUAGGCCCUGAAUACAUUAGCAUGGAAUAAUAAGAUACGACCUUGGUGGUCUAUUUUGUUGGUUUGCACGCCAAGGUAAUGAUUAAUAGGGAUAGUUGGGGGUAUUCGUAUUCAAUUGUCAGAGGUGAAAUUCUUGGAUUUAUGGAAGACGAACUACUGCGAAAGCAUUUACCAAGGAUGUUUUCAUUAAUCAAGAACGAAAGUUAGGGGAUCGAAGAUGAUUAGAUACCAUCGUAGUCUUAACCAUAAACUAUGCCGACUAGGGAUCGGUGGGUGCAUUUUUAGGCCUCAUCGGCACCUUAUGAGAAAUCAAAGUCUUUGGGUUCCGGGGGGAGUAUGGUCGCAAGGCUGAAACUUAAAGAAAUUGACGG
rnacentral:rRNA from 1 species